AUUGAACGCUGGCGGCAGGCCUAACACAUGCAAGUCGAACGAGUGGCGGACGGGUGAGUAAUGUAUGGGAAACUGCCCGAUAGAGGGGGAUAACUACUGGAAACGGUGGCUAAUACCGCAUACUAUCGGAUGUGCCCAUAUGGGAUUAGCUAGUAGGUGGGGUAAAGGCUCACCAAGGCGACGAUCCCUAGCUGGUCUGAGAGGAUGACCAGCCACACUGGAACUGAGACACGGCCCAGACUCCUACGGGAGGCAGCAGUGGGGAAUAUUGCACAAUGGGCGCAAGCCUGAUGCAGCCAUGCCGCGUGUAUGAAGAAGGCCUUCGGGUUGUAAAGUACUUUCAGCGGGGAGGCGUUACCCGCAGAAGAAGCACCGGCUAACUCCGUGCCAGCAGCCGCGGUAAUAC
rnacentral:rRNA from 1 species